GAGCUAUUUCUGCUGUCAAGAUUUACUCCAUUGGAAUAUAGAUAUAAAUGUCCCUCCGACCUGAGACCGCCAUGGUGACUUGCAAGCAACUCACUGCACUUAGGCACUGGACUACCUGAAUUUCUAAUUCAGUGACGGAAGGCUGCUGGGUGUAGUAAGUACUUGACUUGUUGGUGCAUGUGUUAAGAUGGGAUUGACCA
rnacentral:lncRNA from 1 species